CUGACUGUGUGAGUGGGCCCAGGGCUGCUGGAACCUGUGGAGCUAUAGCAAGAAGGAGCCAGUCUUGGUGCUCUGUGUUCACCUGGUUCAUCUGAGGAGCUGCAUCUACCCUGCCCAUGCCAUAGAUCCUGCCCUGUUUGCUUCUCCUGUUGCUGCUAGUGGACAUGAGAAGGACAGAAUAACGGGCUCCCAGAUUCACAAGCCCCACCAAGAGGAUCACCCCAGGAACGCUUGGAGGCUGAGGAGUUCACUGAGGCUACUGCAUCUUGAGACUCAGGAUGAAGACCCAGCUUGGGGCUGUCAAAGGUUUUUUGCAUGUCUGACACCCAUGACUCCACCUGGACCUUAUGGCUCCACCCAGAAGCAAUUCAGCCCAACAGGAGGACAGCUUCAACCCAUUACGAUUUCAUCUCUGCCCCAACCACUCAGCAGCAAGCACCUGUUACCUGUCCACCCCCACCCCUUCCCCCAAACUGCCUUUGAAAAAUCCCUAACCUAUGAGCUUUGAAUAAGAUGAGUACGAACUUCAUCGCCCACGUGGCGUGGCCGGCCUCGUGUCUAUUAAAUUCUUUUUCUACUA
rnacentral:lncRNA from 1 species